GUGUCAGCCGCCGCGGUAAUACGGGAGUGGCAAGCGUUAUCCGGAAUUAUUGGGCGUAAAGCGUCCGCAGGCGGCCUUGUAAGUCUGUCGUUAAAGCGUGGAGCUUAACUCCAUUUCAGCGAUGGAAACUACAAGGCUUGAGUGUGGUAGGGGCAGAGGGAAUUCCCGGUGUAGCGGUGAAAUGCGUAGAUAUCGGGAAGAACACCAGUGGCGAAGGCGCUCUGCUGGGCCAUAACUGACGCUCAUGGACGAAAGCCAGGGGAGCGAAAGGGAUUAGAAACCCCCGUAGUCC
rnacentral:rRNA from 1 species